rnacentral:rRNA from 1 species
UACGAAGGGGGCUAGCGUUGCUCGGAAUCACUGGGCGUAAAGGGUGCGUAGGCGGGUCUUUAAGUCAGGGGUGAAAUCCUGGAGCUCAACUCCAGAACUGCCUUUGAUACUGGGAGUCUCGAGUUCGGGAGAGGUGAGUGGAACUGCGAGUGUAGAGGUGAAAUUCGUAGAUAUUCGCAAGAACACCAGUGGCGAAGGCGGCUCACUGGCCCGAUACUGACGCUGAGGUGCGAAAGCGUGGGGAGCAAACAGG